rnacentral:rRNA from 1 species
UACGGGGGGGGCAAGCGUUGUUCGGAAUUACUGGGCGUAAAGGGCGUGUAGGUGGCCAACUAAGUCCGACGUGAAAUCCCCAGGCUUAACCUGGGAACUGCGUCGGAUACUGGAUGGCUUGAAUUCGGGAGAGGGAUGCAGAAUUCCAGGUGUAGCGGUGAAAUGCGCAGAUAUCAGGAGGAACACCGGUGGCGAAGGCGGGUCUCUGGGCCGAUACUGACGCUGGAGGAGCGAAAGCGUGGGGAGCGAACAGG